UACGAAGGGGGCUAGCGUUGCUCGGAAUCACUGGGCGUAAAGGGUGCGUAGGCGGGUCUUUUAAGUCAGGGGUGAAAUCCUGGAGCUCAACUCCAGAACUGCCUUUGAUACUGAGGAUCUUGAGUUCGGGAGAGGUGAGUGGAACUGCGAGUGUAGAGGUGAAAUUCGUAGAUAUUCGCAAGAACACCAGUGGCGAAGGCGGCUCACUGGCCCGAUACUGACGCUGAGGCACGAAAGCGUGGGAGCAAACAGGG
rnacentral:rRNA from 1 species